CCUACGGGUGGCAGCAGUGGGGAAUAUUGCACAAUGGGGGAAACCCUGAUGCAGCGACGCCGCGUGAAGGAAGCAGUAUUUCGGUAUGUACACUUCUAUCAGCAGGGAAGAAAAUGACGGUACCUGACUAAGAAGCCCCGGCUAACUACGUGCCAGCAGCCGCGGUACUACGUAGGGGGCAAGCGUUAUCCGGAUUUACUGGGUGUAAAGGGAGCGUAGGCGGUUUAGCAAGUCAGAAGGGAAAGCCCGGGGCUCAACUGCGGGACUGCUUUUGAAACUGUUGAACUAGAGUGCAGGAGAGGUAAGUGGAAUUCGUAGUGUAGCGGUGAAAUGCGUAGAUAUUAGGAGGAACACCAGUGGCGAAGGCGGCUUACUGGACUGUAAAUGACGCUGAGGCUCGAAAGCGUGGGGAGCAAACAGGAUUAGAUACCCCGGUAGUC
rnacentral:rRNA from 1 species